GCAGAGGCUGUAUGUGUUCCAGUCCCAGGGCGUGAGUACGACAGAGCCAAGGGCAGGAGCCCUGGGGAAGCUGAUUACCCUGCCCGUCCUGAUCCGGCCCGGCCAGAUCACCAGCUCCUUCAUCGUCCGCUGGUGGUGGACAGGGAGAACCGGGCAGCAGGAAAUCCACACAGUGUCCAGAUUCACCACGAACCUGCUGAGAGGUCCCAAGUGAGGCCAGAAAGUCUGCAGGCCGCCUCCUCUGGUCCUGAGUUGAUCUAAAGCUGCUCCACCCAAGCUGGGGAUGUCAUGAAAGUGCCAGUUUACGCAGUGACAGCUCCCGGUUGUGCAUGUAGGUGCGCCCAUCACCACCACAGUCAAUUCUAGAGCAUUCUUACCCGAAGAAGGAGCCUUAAGCAUCACCCACUCAUUCUGCUUCCCCUCAGUUCCUAAUAACCACUCAUCUACUUUCCUUUCCGUCUCUAUGGAUUUACCUAUUCUGGACAUUUCAUAUAAAUGGAAUCAUCUAAUAUGCGGCUUUUUUGUGUGUCUAGCUUCUUUCAUGAGGCGUACUGUUUUCAAGGUUCAUCCACACUGUAGCAGGUGACAGACCUUCUUUCCUUUCUAUGCUGAGUAAUAUCCCAUCAUGAGGAUAGACCACAUUUUGUUUAUCUGUUCAUCAGUUGAUGGACAUUUGGGUUUUUAUGCUGUUUGGCUAUUAUGAGUAAUGUUGCUACGAGUGUUCGUGUCAGCAAGUUUGUGAAAUAUUGCGUUUCUUUUGGGACCACAAGUAGAAAAUGUGCAAAUGUCCUUAAGAGAACCAUGGGCACCGUCUGGCCUGCUCACCAGGAGAGCUUGGGUCAUGAAUUCUUUCCAGAGAGAGAAGGGACCUCUGUGCACAGAGAGGGGGUGCCUCUUAAGCGUCGGGGACCCUAGCAACAGUCCUCUAAUGGUCAAUGUUUUUGCAAAAUUUGCAAAAGUGAGAUAUUCAACAACAAUCAGUUAAAUAUUGCUUCUUUCCCUUUGGACACCCCCUCCAAUUCACUCCCCCUCCUGUGGGGGGGGGUCCUGCAUGACAAUGGCUGCGGGCCAUGCUUGGGGACUGGGGAGGGGACAGGGAGCUGUGUUUCCUGGCAUGCAUUUAUAUGGGCCAUAGCCAAGUCUGUUCUGUUAAGUGUCUGCAGACAAGCCUUCCAGAAAUGCUUCCACCACUCACUGCAGCUCACCCCACAUGGCGACGAGGCGUAGGGUCAGAGAGGGUGCAGCCAGAUGUAGGAGAAAGAAUGCCAGCAGCCUGCCGGCCAGCUGAUUCACUUUUAAAUGAUUUUUUUUAAGUUUUUAUUUAUUUAAACAAAAUGUUUUUAUGGCCCCCCGCUUUGGGAUGACUUCUAGUACCAUGGGGGGCGGCAAGAGAAUGAGGUUGCCGUGGGUCCCGCGGUGUUGGAGGCGCCUGUGAGAACACCUGGCGGGAGGUCCCGGGGAGAGCAGGAGGAGCUCAGUGAAGACAAGUCUGGGCGCGGUGUCCACGGGGGGGCCCGGCAUGCGGGUGCUUAUUAACGCUGGGGAGGAAAUGAGUCACGGGGAGAGACAGUGUGGGGGAGAAGUGCGGGCUGGGCUUCCUCACCAGGAGGUGGCCAGAGGGCGGAUGGAGGGUCCUCUGGGUUUAGCAACAAGGAAGCCAUUGGUGACCUUGGCAAGAGCAGUGUCAGUGGCUAGAGUCAGGCUGAGGACAAAUCCAGAGUUUGGGGGACACAUGGGGUGCCAUGGUGGGAGGAACCCAAGGUGAUUGGGGAGAAGGAUUUUCAAAGAUGCUAAGUGCCAGGGCGCCUGGGUGGCUCAGCUGGUUAAGCGACUGCCUUCGGCUCAGGUCAUGAUCCUAGAGUCCCUGGAUCGAGCCCCGCA